GAGUUUGAUCCUGGCUCAGGACGAACGCUGGCGGCGUGGAUUAGGCAUGCAAGUCGAACGAGAAGCAUUUCUUCGGAAAUGUGGAGAGUGGCGAACGGGUGAGUAACACGUGAACAACCUGCCCUUACAUUCCGGAUAGCCGGCUGAAAAGUCGGAUAAUACGGGGGAGGAUCAUUUUAAGGCAUCUUAGAAUGAAGGAAGGCGCAAGCCGUGCAAGGAGGGGUUCGCGGACUAUCAGGUAGUUGGUGGGGUAACGGCCUACCAAGCCAACGACAGAUAACUGGUCUGAGAGGACGACCAGUCACACUGGGACUGAGACACUGCCCAGACUCCUACGGGAGGCUGCAGUCGAGAAUCUUGCACAAUGCACGAAAGUGUGAUGCAGCGACGCCGCGUGGAGGAUGAAGGAGCUCAGCUUCGUAAACUCCUUUUAUGGGGGAGGAAUAAAUGACGUUACCCCAUGAAUAAGCCACGGCUAACUACGUGCCAGCAGCCGCGGUAAUACGUAGGUGGCAAGCGUUGUCCGGAUUUACUGGGCGUAAAGGGUGCGCAGGCGGAUAUUUAAGUAGGAAGUGAAAGGUUGGAGCUUAACUCCGACAUUGCUUUCUAUACUGGAUAUCUUGAGUUUCGGAGAGGAAGAUGGAACGACACGUGUAACGGUGAAAUGCCUUGAUAUGUGUCCGAACACCCAUACCGAAGGCAAUCUUCUGGACCAAUACUGGCCCUGAGGCCCAAAACCUGGGUACCAAACACGAUUAAAAACCCCUGGUAGUCCCUGCCCCAAACAAAUUUCCCCUAGGUGUCGGGGAAAUUUUUUUCGGUGCCGCAGCUAACGCAUUAAGUGAACCGCCUGGGGACUACGACCGCAAGGUUGAAACUCAAAGGAAUUGGCGGGGGCCCGCACAAGCGGUGGAGCAUGUGGCUUAAUUCGAUGCAACGCGAAGAACCUUACCAGGGUUUGACAUGUAACUGCAAACUCCCGAGACGGAGUCGCUUUCGAAGGUGUUACACAGGUGGUGCAUGGCUGUCGUCAGCUCGUGUUGUGAAAUGUUGGGUUAAGUCCCGCAACGAGCGCAACCCUCAUGUUCUGUUGCCAGCGAGUAAUGUCGGGAACUCGGAACAAACUGCCUCUGUAAGGAGGAGGAAGGUGGGGAUGAGGUCAAGUCAUCAUGCCCCUUACACCCUGGGCUGCACACAUGCUACAAUGGUCGGUACAAUGGGCAGCAAUAUCGCGAGAUGGAGCAAAUCCCAAAAAGCCGAUCUCAGUUCGGAUUGGAGUCUGCAACUCGACUCCAUGAAGUCGGAAUCGCUAGUAACUGCCGGUCAGCAAUACGGCAGUGAAUACGUUCCCGGGCCUUGCACACACCGCCCGUCAAGCCACGAAAGUUGGUCUUUCCCGAAGUCGCCGUGCUAACCUUUUAGGAAGCAAGCGCCGAAGGAAGGGCCGAUGAUUGGGACUAAGUCGUAACAAGGUAAC
rnacentral:rRNA from 1 species